rnacentral:rRNA from 1 species
UACGUAGGGUGCGAGCGUUAAUCGGAAUUACUGGGCGUAAAGCGUGCGCAGGCGGUUCGUUAUGUCCGUUGUGAAAGCCCCCGGGCUCAACCUGGGAAUGGCAAUGGAAACUGGCGGGCUAGAGUGUGGCAGAGGGGGGUGGAAUUCCGCGUGUAGCAGUGAAAUGCGUAGAGAUGCGGAGGAACACCGAUGGCCGAAGGCAGCCCCCUGGGCUAGCACUGACGCUCAGGCACGAAAGCGUGGGGAGCAAACAGG